UUGGAGGGCAAGUCUGGUGCCAGCAGCCGCGGUAAUUCCAGCUCCAAUAGCGUAUAUUAAAGUUGUUGCAGUUAAAAAGCUCGUAGUUGAAUUUCGGGGUUCUACCGUUGGUCGGGCUUUGUCUGUACUGGUGUGUAGAAUUUCUACCUUCUGGGGAACCAUCAUGCUAUUAAUUUAGCGUGGUGGGAAACCAGGACCUUUACCUUGAAAAAAUUAGUGUGUUCAAAGCAGGCUUAUGUCUGAAUACAUUAGCGUGGAAUAAUAGAAUAGGACGGUGGUCCUGUUUUGUUGGUUUCUGAAUCACCGUAAUGAUUAAUAGGGAUAGUUGGGGGCAUUAGUAUUCAAUUGUCAGAGGUGAAAUUCUUGGAUUUAUUGAAGACUAACUUCUGCGUAAGCAUUUGCCAAGGAUGUUUUCAUUAAUCAAGAACGAAAGUUAGGGGAUCGAAGACGAUCAGAUACCGUCGUAGUCUUAACCAUAAACUAUGCCGACUAGGGAUCGGACGAUGUUAAUUUUUCUUGACUCGUUCGGCGCCUUACGGGAAA
rnacentral:rRNA from 1 species